GUGCUUGCUUCGGCAGCACAUAUACUAAAAUUGGAACGAUACAGAGAAGAUUAGCAUGGCCCCUGCGCAAAGGAUGACACGCAAAUUGAGUGAGGCGUUCCAUAUAAAA
rnacentral:snRNA from 1 species